CCUUCUGAAAGUAUUUUUCACAUCUUGUAUAUUACGAAUACUUCUGUCAGCCUCGCGUAUCCGUGUCGGACACUUGCGUGUCCGUGUCGGACACUCGCGUGUCCGUAUCGGACAUGUGUCCGAUGUGGACACUUUUUGGACACGCGUUUAAUACCAAUCCAUAGCGCAAACAAUUUAAAAAAAUAUACAUAUUUUUAUUUUAUUUAUUUUAUGCAUUAUAAAUGUAAGAUUAUAAAUAUUUUAGCUUUUUAAUAAAUGCAUAUAAAUUUUUUUGAUAAUAUAAAUAAAUUAUAUAUGGUGCAGAAUUUUUUUAAAAAUAUAUGAAUUAUUAAUAAAAAAUUUACUAACUUACAUUCGUAUGAGAAAUAUAACAAUAUUUUAUCAAAAUUAAUAUUUUUUAUAUAAUAAAUAUAUUAUAUUAUAUAUAUUAGCGGUGUCCAUGUUGUAUCCGUAUUUAAUUUUUUAAAAAUUGUCGAGUCACCAUGUCCAAAUUAUGUCGUAUCUCAUGUCAGUGUCCAUGACGCCUGGUCCACAUCUGAUUGGGCUCUCACUGAUGCUUUCUUUUCUAACGAGUUUGCUUUCUGCCACAGUGAAAAGAACACUUUCAAAUGUAAGUAUCAUUUGAGAGGUUUUUGGUUUUAGAUGUGGGUGCAUCCUUAUAUAUCAGAGAGUGAUGUAAAGAUGUACAUAUUCACGUGAGAGAGAGAAGAAAAUAUCCUUAAGAGUCUAUAGUUUUAUACACAUAUAUUAUUACUCAUAAAUUUUUGCCAUUUUUUCUCAAAAUUUUUACUAUCCAAUCAUUGUGAUUGCUCGUCUUUUUCGUAACAUCUGCCUUUUCAGUUUUCGUCUUAUUAAUUUCUUUCCCGUAAUGUAUGUCUUUUCGGCUUCCCGUCUCAUUAAUUCAUUCUCUAUAACGUGGCUGCUUCGACUUUCCCGCUUUAUUAGUUUCUAUUUUCUAAAAGGCGUUGCCC
rnacentral:lncRNA from 1 species